rnacentral:rRNA from 1 species
AUGCAGAGCCCUCACGUUUUCCCACUUCUUGGGCACCUUCUCCACGGCAGCCUCCACUGCCGCCAUCACAUUGUCAACGAUCUCCUCCUCCUCCAUGUCCAGCCUGCCCACCUUGAUCCCCGAGCAGGUCCCGGUCCGCAGGUACAGGAAAGUGGAGCUGAGGACCUUGCGGACCUGCUCCGGCCAGCCAGCCCGGGUGAAGUCGACGGCGAUGGGGGCCUUCUUGGUGGAGUAGAAGGAUUUGCCGAGGAGGCGGGGCAGCAUGGGGAGCAGGGCGCGGUCGGCGAGGAAGAGGUCGUAGGAGGCGGCGAAGCGGCGGCGCGACUCGUAGGGGCGGUAGUCGGUGCGCAGGGCGGAGAAGGGGACGACCUCCGAGACGGGCAGCUUGAGGGACCUGGCGGCGUCGAGGAUGGCGGCGGCGGCGGGGGAGCCGGAGCCGGCGCGGUCGUCGGAGAUGACGCAGACGGAGGCGGCCGAGUGGGCGACGACGGGGUGCGGGAGCGGGAGGAGGUGCGGCUUGGUGGUGGGCUUGGGCGGGACGCGGCGGAGCGAGAGCUGGAGCACGACGAGGUCGUCGCGCUCGUCGGCGAGCAAGUUCGGCGGCGCCUCCGCGGCGCGCUCGCGCAUCCACUUGGUGAGGGACGCCACGGCGCUGGCCGCCGUCGCGCGCGGCACCUCGUGCGCCGCCUUGUCCUUCAGCUGCGGCUGCGUCGGCGGCGACAUGGCGGCUGCGGCGGCGGUUUAGGGUUUAGCGUGGCGGCGGAAAGAGGAGAGGAGGAGGAGGAGCCUGGCCGCGAGACCCUAUUAUACGAGACCGCACCUUACGCGGCCAUCCUUGGGCCCGCGGGAAUGGCCCGGCCCAAACAGAAGGGCGUCGUAGUACCUGGGCCAGGUCGUAACCCCUCAAAAAAAUAA